CUACCGGCCAGUCGCCCUCUCCUGGGUGAAAUCUGAACCUGGAUAACUCACCAUUUACUGUGGUCUGCUGCAUCCACUGCUCUGUCCUACUGAAACGUUCUCUGGACUUCGCUGUGCAGGAUGUGUCUAUUCCAAUGGGACUACAAGUUCCUUGAUUAAAAAGCAAGACUCGCAAGUCGUCGUGCAGAUUCCUCCCAAAAAAGAAGAAAAUAAGGAAAUUUACUGCUUAAGGCUAUCAGCGAGGCAGAUUCUGACUGCAAGUCUUCAAGUCCAUCCUGCAAGGUGCCAGGCUCCCUCCAGCCUGUGGCCUCGAAGCCCCUCCCCCAUGUGACGCUCUCCCAACUGCCCAUGCCGCACUUCUCGUGACCGCGGAGUCAUCACCGUCGGGAGGCUGCAUCCCAGUGCCUUCUUCAUCCUCACCCCAAGCCGAG
rnacentral:lncRNA from 1 species